AAUCAAAAACUGCUUUCAAAGUUUCUUGGUAGGGAAGCAUAAGAUCCCAGUGAACAUCCUCCAAUUUGUUGAUGAUACUAUCUUUUUUGGAGAAGCUUCUAUGGAUAAUGUCAAAGCUGUGAAGGCCAUUCUUAGAAGCUAUGAGAUGGUUUCAGGCUUGAGAAUUAACUUUGCCAAGAGCCACUUUGGGGCAAUUGGCCAAUCUGAAGAAUGGUAUUGUUCUGCUGCUGAUUAUCUUAAUUGUGACAUGCUUCAAUUCCCCUUCUGCUACCUAGGGUUGCCUAUAGGCAUUAAUCCGAGAAGAAAGAUGGUGUGGGAGCCUAUCAUUAGAAGGUUUGAGGCUAGGUUGAACAAGUGGAAUCAAAGGAACAUCUCUAUGGCUGGAAGAAUCACCCUUAUCAAUGCUGUUUUAACAGCACUUCCCUUGUUUUACUUGUCUUUUUACAGGGCUCCCUCAACAGUCAUUAAUAGAUUAAAUGCUAUUCAAAGACACUUUUUGUGGGGUGGAAAUUCUGAAGGAAAGAAGAUUGCUUGGAUAGCUUGGAGCCAUGUUUGUUCAUCUAGAGAAAGGGGAGGUUUGGGUAUUAAAGAUAUCAAGGCCCUCAACAAUGCUCUUUUAAUUAAAUGGAAAUGGUUGAUGUUCCAGCAAAGUGACUAGCUAUGGAGCCGUAUCCUGAUUUCUAAAUACAGAGGCUGGAGAGGCUUGGAAGGGGGGCCACCAAAGCCUAAUUUCUCUCAUUGGUGGUCUGACUUGAGAUCCAUUAAUCAGCAUGGGUGUAUGGUUGAGGUAUCUAAGCAGUUUAUUUGGAGGCUGGAAAGAGGUGACCAAAGUUUGUUCUGGGAGGACUAUUGGAUGGAUGGGAGGAUAACUCUUAAAGAUAAAUAUCCAGAGCUAUAUCGUAUCUCCUUGCAAAAACAUCAUACUGUAGCAGAGAUGGGCUCUUUCUGUGAAUCGAGGUGGGAAUGGAAAUUCUCUUGGAGGCGCAAUCUGUUUGACAAUGAAAUGGGGAUAGCCUCAGAUUUUCUUGAUCAGACUGCUGUCAUCAACUUAAAUGUUUUGUCAAAGGAUAGCUGGGUGUGGGGAGCUGCUUCUAAUGGGAUAUUCUCUUCUAAAUCUGCUUAUCUUUGCAUUAAAGCUGAGCUGUCUCCUGCAGAUCAUCAACUUGGUUUCUGCCAGCUGUGGGAUACUAAAAUUCCUCCUAGAGCCUUAACCUUUGCGUGGAGAUUGCUGUGGGAUAGGCUUCCUACUAAGGAGAACCUAUCCAGGAGAAAUGUUGAUCUGGUCAAUGACUUAUGCCCCUUCUGUCAAAGCAGCUUAGAAUCUGCUUCCCACUUGUUUUUCUCUUGUCACAAAGUUAUGCCUUUGUGGUGGGAAUUUAACACCUGGGUUAAGAAGGAUAGAGCUCUUCACUGCAGGCCCAUGGAGCACUUCCUUCAGCAAUAUUCCAUAGCAGGUUCGAAGGCUUCGAAUACAAGAAGGAAAAUUUGGUGGAUAGCAGCUACAACGUCCAUAUGGAAGCUCCGUAAUGAUGUCAUCUUUCAUAAUCAGCCUUUCCAGAUUUCUAAGUUGGUGGAUAACACUAACUUUCUUACUUGGUCCUGGCUGAGGGGGUGGGAAAAGGACUUCAAUGCCCCCUUUCAUCAAUGGUCCUCAACCAUGCCUAUGGCAUUUAUUUAGUUUGUGGUCUGCUGGGCUAAGGGUUUUGGGGGAUUCUUGUAGGGCAUUUGUGUUUUGUAUUUUUGAACUCAUGUUCCUGGAGACUUUAGCUCCUUCUUAUCAUGUAGUACCCCUGGUACUAUUAUUUGAUUAAUAUAUAUAUAUUAUCUUUGCAGUUCAAAAAAAAAAACUUACAAAGGUUUUGAUACCACAAGGACUAAAUAUUCUAAAAGCUCGGGCUGUUGGUGUAUGCCCAAGAUUGAUAUUAUAUGCAUAAAAAAUAUGCUUAAUGGUUAUUGGCAAUAUUGGCAUUAGUGUAGAACUAAAUAUAUUUUGGUUGUUUGGAUCUCAUGUUUUUCCUUUCAUUCUGUGGUAUGAUUUUCAUAAUUUUUGUCUCAAUUCUGAAAAUAAAAAAGCCCAAUGACAUAAAAUCAUAUUGAUAUCAUAUAUUAUAACCAAUUAGAAUAUAUGUAAUGUCAAAGAUUGUCGAUGUGGACUAAGCUUGAUUGUCAUAUUCUAUCAUGAAAGGUGCUAUUGGUUGUUUAUUUUGUUUUGGUUCUAAAUUUUAUGCUUUUACUGUUAGAUUUACUUUAGUAAUGGUGGAGAGUUGAUUGGUAUUCCUCUAGGGAGGAACUUUUUGGAAAAGUUGUCAUGGUCAGAUUUGAUUCUAACAUAUUGCUCAAGCGAGAGUGUGAUGAGAAGAACCAAUCAGUUUCUAAUGUAGUAUAUACGAUUAAAUAUUUACCCAAAGCUGGAGCAAAGGUCAUCUUGGUGAGUGAUUGGAAUAUGAAUAAUCUAGAACUUCAGAGUCAGUUGCAGGUACUUUCUUAAAGCCUUUUUGUAAAUCCUUGUUUUCAGUUUCCAGUUGCCAUGGCGAAGUUUGGCUAUUAUGCCAUUAUAUGAGCUGUUUACAGCAAUUCUAGUUUAUUUAAGGGGAGAAAAGACAGAAGAAAUUUAUUUAAAUCAAAACUGCAAUCAAUGUGAGCAAUGAAAUUAACAAAUGACUUCUUUUAUGUGAGGAAGCUUCCAUGUUGGAUGAUUGAUAAUCUCUAUGCUAUAGAUUUCUUGUCAGAAGUUCUUCAAAUACAAGUUGUUCCACUGCAUGGAAUUUCUUUUAACAAGCUAUCAAAGAUGAAUGGCCUUGAGAAAGAGAAUAUCCAUCUUCUUGAGAAUCUUUCUAAUAUCAAAGAGGAAGUUGCUAACUGUGUGGAGUUUGCUAGAGUAUUAUCGUCAGGAGUUGACAUCUUUGUCAAUUACUCCUUCUCCAACUCUCAUAAAGUUCUAGCAUCUACUGUUGGUGUCACCCGUUUCUGGUAUGCCUGUAUCGCUGGUUUUUACUUUGAGGAGAGGCUUUGUCUACUGAAGAAUCUUGCAGAGGCAAGCAGGAAGCCAUAUGUAGCAAUUCAAUCCAGAUUGGAGGUGGUAAUCUCUAUGAUAAAGCAGCUUCCUUUCAGUUUUUAGCUUCCAGAUGUCAAUGGUUUGUAUUUGUGGGAAUGAUGCCAUUUCAAGUAAUGCAUGCAUUAGGAGUAUCUGUUCCUCGUAAUUUAGUGGACCAUAAGGCAUUUAAUGAAGCUCUAGAUACAGUGCGACUUACUCGAGAUAGAAACAUGCAGAUUCUGUAUCCAAAAGAUUUUUGGUGCAGAAAAAAAUGUGAUCCAAAGCAAUUGCAAGUAUUUCCUUCUCAUGGAAUUUUGGAUGGUUAGGUGCCUGUUGACCUUGGACCUGUCUCAUUGGAUGAAAUUUGUUCUAUGCUUGCAAAUUGUAAGAAAAUAAUUUGGAUUGGUCCUGUGAAAUUUGCUGAUUCAAGUAAAUACACCAAUGAGGCAUCUAAAUUGACAAGAAUACUUGAACAACUAAGCCAGAACAACUGUGAAAUAGCAGUUGUUGGGACUAUGGCAAGCAAACUGGCAAUGGGCUUUUUCUUCUUGAAAUGGCUAGAAGGGAGCAAGAUCUAAACUUCCUUGGUUUGGAGAUCAAUGAAAAGGUACUGUAUCGCUACUAAUGCAACAUCAACAUUCCAUUCUAUUGUUUCUUCUUAUCCAGGAGAGUUAGUUCUUGUCUCAAUACAGUGUCCAAACCCUGAUUUCAAUAAACCUGAGCAUAGAUGGAGGAUGCUGCAGAGAUCUUUAAUCGAAGCAGUGGUGGAUCUUCUAGCACCUAAUGGGAAGAUCUUUCUGCAAUCCGAUGUAGAAGCCGUGGCAAUAAGAAUGAAAGAACAAUUUUUGACAUAUGGCAAGGGUAAGCUUGAUAUGGAGCAUGGCCAAAGUGAGUGGCUUGAGGAAAACCCAUUUGGACUUGAUCAGAUUGGGAAAGGCAUGUUUUAGAGCGUGGGGCCCCCAUGUACCGGAUAAUCAUCUGACAUUAGGGAAGUUUGAGUUGCUAAUGAUGUAAUCCAGAAAUCUGGCUAACACAUCAACCCUCCAAAGGGUUUCUACCUUUUCAGAAUCUAUCACACAGCUAAUGAUUUCUCAUUGCUGGGGCUGUAUUUUACUGCUUUCAUUGCAGGCAUGAACUUCCUUACAGCCUGUGGAGAAUUAUCGAUGAGCACAGUCAAAUGUUCCAUAAGGGUUUCUAACGUUAUUGUAAAAUGUGCACCACUGCAUAUGAUUACUUAACUCCAAGGUAUCUUCAAAGAUGCAUUUAAAAGCUUACCACUGAAAUCAAAGCUGUGGGUCUCAGAUGACCAAAGUUAGCAUUGUGUAUAUUUGUAACGUAGUUAUAUGCGGCUUGGAAAAUAAUAAUUUCUAUUCAUUUUUUUUUUUUGAGAAGGUCUAUGCAUGGUAUUAUGACAUGAUAUUGCAUGCAAGUACAUUUUAUUUUGGUCUAGAAGAUACAAAUUUGUGAAGGGAAUGCUCAAACCAACGUUUUUCGAUUACACA